rnacentral:rRNA from 1 species
GUCCACGCCCUAAACGUUGCGAACUAGGUGUUGGCGAGAUUGACCUCGUCAGUGCCGGAGCUAACGCAUUAAGUUCGCCGCCUGGGAAGUACGGCCGCAAGGUUAAAACUCAAAGGAAUAGGCGGGGGCCCGCACAAGCAGCGGAGCGUGUUCUUUAAUUCGAUGCAACGCGAAGAACCUUACCUGGGCUUGACAUGUUUGUGAAACCAUGGUGAAAGCUGUGGCUUCCCGCAAGGGACGCAUGCACAGGUGGUGCAUGGCUGUCGU